rnacentral:tRNA from 1 species
ACUAUUUUGGCAGAAAAUUGUGAUGAUUUUAGAAGUCAUUAAUAUAUAAUUAUUUAUUAUAUAGAUAGUA